rnacentral:lncRNA from 1 species
UUUAAUUCCACUGCCAGACACUAGAACCAGAGCUGCCCUACAAGAUAACUAUUCUCUUGAUGAGCGUUGGGCAGUAGCUUGACUGGUUGCACCCUGGCAUUUCCUGCCUCCAGAGACAGACCAGAAGGCUUGCUCUGCCAACAAGGCAACUGGGGAAGAGAAGGGCUGAAUGAACACAAAAUUUCUGGUUGCUGCACAAAACAAGAUCAAAGAAAAGAGAAGAAUAAUCAGAGAAGCCAGCUGCCAUCCUGCUUGGUGAGGCCCACCUGGUGAGAAACUGAAGCAUCUUGUCAGUAGCAAUGUGAGUGAGCUUGGGAACAGAUCUUCCAUACCAGUCAAAUCUUCAGAUGACUGUAAUCCCAGCCGACAUUUUGACUGCAACUUUAUGAGCUAGAACCGCACAGCUAAGCUGCUCUUAGAUUUCUGACUCAGAAGCUGUGUGAGCAUAAGUGCAUUGUUAUCAAUUGCUAAGUUUUGAGAUGAUUUGUUGUAGAUAAAUAAUAUACCAUAGAAUCAUGCUUGAGUUGCUCUUUUCAAAACCAGACCCUUCUUUAAUUCCGUGUAUC